rnacentral:rRNA from 1 species
UACAGAGGUGGCAAGCGUUGUCCGGAAUCAUUGGGCGUAAAGAGCGUGUAGGCGGCCCGAUAAGUCCGCCGUGAAAGUCCAGGGCUCAACCCUGGAAUGCCGGUGGAAACUGUCGGGCUGGAGUCCGGAAGAGGCGAGUGGAAUUCCUGGUGUAGCGGUGAAAUGCGCAGAUAUCAGGAGGAACACCAAUGGCGAAGGCAGCUCGCUGGGACGGUACUGACGCUGAGACGCGAAAGCGUGGGGAGCAAACAGG